AUGCUGUUUGCUGUGACCUGUUGAAUUUUGGCCUUGAGCUCAUCCUCUGCCACAGCUGAAGUGAAGCAGAGAAAAAGACCAGGUCUGUGUAUGAGGUGUGCAGCCAAAUCUGGGUCCUUCUUCCAUGACAAGAGGCAGAGACUCCCGUGCUUCUUUGUGAAAAAAUGCCAUAGGGAAGCCCCCAGCAGGGGGUCAGAGGAGAAUUUGAACUGCUGCACAAGACUGUGCUUGAGGCCAGGGGAAAAAAUGGAAAUUCAGGAAUAUGAUGACAACUAUGAUGUUUGGCUUUGCUUCAGUCACUUCAAUACAGCAGUAUGCAGCAUGCUCAGAACUGUCAGCUUCUGAAAUUCUGAAAGA